rnacentral:rRNA from 1 species
CGUACUUGGGGUGCAGAAGCGGUGGGAGGACGAAGGGGGCAAGCGGUAUGCGGAAGUGCGGGGCGGAAAGCGUGCGUAGGGGGUUGUUUAAGUCGGUGGUGAAAGCCCUGGGCUUAAACUGGGAACGGCGAAGGAAACGGGGGGACGAGAGUGUGGUAGAGGGUAGCGGAAUUCCUGGUGUAGCAGUGAAAUGCGUAGAUAUCAGGAGGAACAUCCAUGGCGAAGGCAGCUACCUGGGCCAACACUGACACUGAGGCACGAAAGCGUGGGGAGCAAACAGGAUUAGAUACCCCAGUAGUC